GAUGUGAGUCCAGGUGUGAAGCCUGGGUGCUUGCCUGUCAGGAAGGCAGCCAGGUAUUAAGAAUCUACUCUGGGGGCUGGCCUGGUGGUGCAGUGGUUAAGUGCACACAUUCCGCUUCGGCGGCCCGGGGUUUGCUGGUUUGGAUCCCAGGUGCGGACAUGGCACCACUUGGCAAGCCAUGCUGUGCUGCUUCUGUGAAUUUUGCUAAUCUGAUUCUGCUGCCGAGAGAUCCGUAGAAGAACAUCCAGUGUCUGUCCUGAGAGGCAGGGCCAGAAGUGGAACAGGGUCUCUCAGCCUAAUUGCUGCUCCUGGCAGCUAGUCCAGUGCCCAGCGCUUGAGAAUCUUUGAUUGUGGGACCGAAUGCAGGGGAGGCAUCGCCUGAGGCACUCUGAGGGAUCUCUGGGCGGCACCUUGCUAUGGCCCCCAAAGAAAAACGUGACACUAUUUUUGACAGUUUUUAACAAAUUUUCCAAAAUUUAGACAUUUUUUUCCUGUUGAUUGCAAACUCAGACUGCCUAAAUGAACGUUUGUUAAUACAACUCCAUACUUGUGUUUUAAAUGUAGUUAUGAAAGAAAAAAAUCUGCUCCCAGAUGUAAAUUGAAACAAAAAUGCACACAGAAGGUAGAGCAGGGCCAGGCCUUUCAGAGUAAUCGCUUUUGGGGAUAAAAGUUUCCAAAAGGCUGUUCCGCCCCUACCCCACAAAAGGUUUCAAACGAAAGGAAAGAAGACAUUUUACAAACUCUAAGUCUUGAAUGGCUGCAAAUGUCUGUAAUUUGGAGUCAUUUUUUGGAGGCUAUAUUUCUAUAUUGCCCUCUGGAAUGAUAACAAACUGUGGGGGAAAGUUUCCAGCUUCGACGUCUUCAAAAUGCCAGGAAAGCACUCGGAUGACGCCUGAAGGCAGGGCUGGAGGGUCAAACUCCAAGCCGCCAGGGCUAUUUACUAUUUAAUGUUAUUAUUUUUAAACUUUUAAUUUUUGCAAUAAAUAUAGAUUUGCAGGAAGUUGCAGAAAAAUGCACAAGGGCUCAUGUAUCUUUC
rnacentral:lncRNA from 1 species